UAUCAGACGAGCACUGUUCGCGUGCACGCGCGUUUAAGUGAAAUCCUGGUGUGUGAUACUCGGCCUCAAAACAUGGAUUGCGUGCCCAACGAAAUAGGACAAAUGGAAGGGGAAAUAUAAAUAAUUGUGACGUCUUAACAUUCGGGAAGCAAGUGAAUUCGUUCUUAAAUGGCCUCAUCCCCCGGAGAGGGAGACAAGGGGAGCGUCGCGUGGAGACACCUCGGCACAGCCUCGGAGCUUUCCGCCAGGAAAUGCCGACUCGUGUACUCCUCCGUCGGCCGGAAGUCGGACGUGUGCCUCUUCUUCGUCAAGGGCGAGUUCUUCGCCAUGGAUGCCCGAUGUCCACACUCCGGAGGUCCACUCUGCGAGGGGGACAUCGAGGAGGCUGAUGGGAUCCUGCGGGUCUUUUGUCCGUGGCACGACUACGACUUUGACCUCCGGACCGGGAAAUCUGGGACCUCUUUGAAGCAACAAGUGCACGAAGUCAAGGUGGAGGAUGGUGACGUUUACAUCAAGCACGCAAGUUUUCUCUCCCUGCAGCCGUUUCCUGCCCAUCACAAGAGCUGAGCUUCAACCUUCCAUCCGCUAGGCUGCAACGCCAAGUUACUGAUUACGCCACAUCUUGCCGGUAGCGAGCACAUUCAAGCUAUUGUUGGAAUCAAUCAUUGAUCCAUCAAUGAACCCAUCGUGCCGGUAACUUGUUCGUUGGGUCGUGAUGGCGAAGGUCUCAGAUGGCAGCAGAGACGGACAGACACCCAGCUGGUCAGUUUUAGGCGUACCCUGUCGGUGCACCUGUGUGGCGAGCACAUCGGGACGCAGCAGUUCGGGUGCAGCCAGCGAUGAAGAAUGGCAUGGCCAACAACAGCCACUUUUUGUCCAAAGGCAUCCACUUCCUGUUCGGUUCCCAAUAACAGCAGCUAGAAUAAACUCAAACGCAACACUUGUGAGGCUUGUAGGUGUGACGUUGUUGAACCCGUAAACUGAUUGGCUACCAUUGACGAUGCUAGACAUCCAAUCCUUUUGGAGUGGGAGGGCCGACAGUGAUUGAAUUAAUGUGAUAAUAUUCAUAAUUGAAAGACUUAAAUGCUAAUUUUCACAUUUUUAACAUGAUGAGUGUCACGUUUUACCAUGUUUCAUGUUGAAACAUUUUCACAGUGUAAUUUUCAUAUUUGAAAUGUGAUACCUUUUAAAUAACUUGAUACAUUUAAUCAAUAAUUUUCAAGUUUAUGUCAGUUUGUUUGUUUCAUAUUUUAGUGUCAAAUGUUUGAUGGUUUAUGUUGAAAAUUUCUACACUUAAGCCGAGAUGGGUACUAACGCGUUACAUGUACUCCGUUACAUUUACUUAACUUUUUGACGCGUUACAUGUACUCCGUUACAGUUACUUUUUGAGAAAAAUGCACUACUAAGAGUAGUUUUACGAAGCCAUACUUUUUACUUUUACUUGAGUAGAUUUGUGAAGAAAAAACGCUACUCUUACUCCGCUACUUUGGGCUACACAAGAAUCUUUACAUUUUUCAUCUUUAUUCUACAUAUUUGAUUUAUUAUUAUUAUUUUUGGCAGCGAUGCCAUUGAGAAUAGCAUUACUAAUUUCACCAAUGCGACUCGCAACAAUAAUCACAAAACUCCUUUAAACCAAUCAGACGCAAGCUUGCCGUUCUAUGAUCACGCCAGCCUAUUCAAUCACAUGUCGUCUUUAAAGUCGGGCUGUCAAACCAUUAAAAUUUUUAAUCGAGUUAAUUACAGCUUAAAAAUUAAUUAAUCGUAAUUAAUCGCAAUUCAAACCCUCUAUAAAAUAUGCCAUAUUUUUCUGUAAAUUAUUGUUGGAACGGAAAGAUAAGACACAAGACGGAUAUAUAUAUUCAAUAUUCGGUACAUAAGUACUGUAUUUGUUUAUUAUAACAAUUAAUCAACAAGAUGGCAUUAACAUUAUUAACAUUCAGUUAAAGCUAUCCAUGGAUAGGAAGACUUGUAGUUCUUAAAAGAUAAAUGUUAGUACAAGUUAUAGAACUUUUAUAUUAAAAUCCCUCUUAAUGUUUUCGUUUUAAUAAAAUUUGUAAAAUUUUCAAUCAAAAAUAAACUAGUAGCUCGCCAUUGUUGAUGUCAAUAAUUACAUAAUGCUCGUUCAUAGUGCUGAAAGCCACAGUCGCACCCAAGCGCCAGCAGAGGGUGAAAAAACGCCCAAAAACACAAGUAACAAGUGCACAUUACACUGUUCUGUCAUUUUAAUCUGUUUGAGCGGGGCAUGUGCGUUAAUUGCGUCAAAUAUUUUAACAUGAUUAAUUAAAAAAAUUAUUUAACGCCCGUUAACGCGAUAAUUUUGACAGCCCUACUUUAAAGCACUGUAAAAAAUGAAGUAUUUGACAUACUGUAGAGCGCUGCCGUCGACGUGACUCAAAAGUGCAGAUUAAAACCUCUCUCCCAGUUUUUAUUUGGCACCGAUUCAACACGAAAAACCGGAGAUAUGAUCCUUUUCAUUUCCUAAUAGUAUCUAUGAAGAAAAUACAGUUCAGUAUUCACUAUUCAAACUAGGAACAAUUUUCUUCACUAGAGGGCAUUCAUUCUAUUUUUUUCUCUUGCCAGAAUUCAAUGAUUUAUUUAUUUAUUUAUUUUUUUAAAUUAUUUCUUUGAUUAUGUACUGAGUAAUUACCAGUGUUGUCAAACUUACUUCAAAAAAGUAAUUAAUGACAGUUGCAAAUUACUUCUCCCAAAAGUACUUGAGUUAGUAACUCAGUUAACUGAAUGUAAGAGUAAUUAGUUACUUGGCAAAGUAACUGGUGUUACGUUUCAUGUUUUUUUUUUUUUUUUAAUUCCCCCCCAAAAAAAAAAACGUUUGGAAGUCAUUUAAUGUUUUGAAUCAACCGUUAAUGUUGUUAAAAUUCCAGUUGUUAUUACAUUAGUUCCCUUCUGUCUA